rnacentral:rRNA from 1 species
GACGAACGCUGGCGGCGUGCUUAACACAUGCAAGUCGAACGGAAAGGCCCUGCUUUUGUGGGGUGCUCGAGUGGCGAACGGGUGAGUAACACGUGAGUAACCUGCCCUUGCCUUUGGGAUAACUUCAGGAAACUGGGGCUAAUACCGGAUAGGAGCUCCUGCUGCAUGGUGGGGGUUGGAAAGUUUCGGCGGUUGGGGCGGGACUCGCGGCUUAGCAGCUUGUUGGUGGGGUAGUGGCUUACCAAGGCUUUGACGGGUCGCCGGCCUGGGAGGGGGACCUGACACAUUGGGACUGAGAUACGGCCCAGCCUCCUACGGGAGGCAGCAGUGGGGAAUAUUGGACAAUGGGAGGAAGCCUGAUGCAGCAACGCCGCGUGCGGGAUGACGGCCUUCGGGUUGUAAACCGCUUUCGCCUGUGACGAAGCGUGAGUGACGGUAAUGGGUAAAGAAGCACCGGCUAACUACGUG